rnacentral:tRNA from 1 species
UUUUGUUCAGAUAAAGGUUUUGAAAACCUUGAGGGAGAAAGAAUUUCUCAACAAAUU